GGUUGCGAUCAUACCAGCACUAAUGCACCGGAUCCCAUCAGAACUCCGCAGUUAAGCGUGCUUGGGCGAGAGUAGUACUAGGAUGGGUGACCUCCUGGGAAGUCCUCGUGUUGCAACCCC
rnacentral:rRNA from 1 species